AAUGGACGACUCUACGUGCAGUGUGGAAGGAAAUUUGCAACACAAACAAACAUGGAGGAGAGUGCACGUGACAUAAUGCACGGAGACACGGAGCUCGUACCUAAAAGAGGGGCUACUUCGGUCGCAUGGAUGUGGUUUGCAUAUGAAAAGAAUGACACGGACUAGAAAACAGUCCUCUGCAAAAUAUGCCGCAGGCCGGUCCCAACAACAGGCUCAGACACCACUAACCUCUUACCACCUUGCAAGAAUCAUGUGAAACAGUACAGAGAGAGUCUACGGAUGAGACCCCAAAAAGUACAGUCGAGUGCUCAAAACAAACCCCCGACUCAGGCGAUGCAAGAGGCUUUUACCCGCGGCAUACCAUAUGGCAAAGAAUCACGAAGAUGGAAGGAGGUAACAGCUGCCGUUACAACUUACAUCUGGAAAGACAUGGCCCCGAUUUGCACGGUCGAGAAACGGGGGUUUCGUGAGUGAAUCACGCCAACCCGGCCUCGACCCAAGGUACCAAGUGCAAAUUGAUAUGUGACACGUAUUAAUGCCUAAAUAACAUGCAAAACAGACCUAUUGACAGAUUAGGAAUCACUGGCCACUUUAAGGACAUGAAACGCUAGCCACAUUAAUAAUGUCGACGUAUCUUGCAUUACUCAUCUCACAUAUAUAUAAACUGUACUCUAUACUAUUCUACGGUAUCUUAGUCACUUUAAUUGUGUAAAUAUUGCAUCACCCAUCCCAUAUGUAUAUACUGUACUCUAUACUAUGCCACUAUCUUAGUCCAAUGCCGCUCUGACAUGUGUAUAUAUAUAUAUUCUUAAUCCAUACAUUACUUAGAUUUGUGUAUUUUGGGGUAUAUGUUGUGAAGCUGUUAGAUAUUACUGCACUGUCGGGGAGCUAAACUCAGCAAAAAAAGAAACGUCCUCCCACUGUCAACUGCGUUUAUUUUCAGCUUACUUCACAUGUGUAAAUAUUUGUAUGAACAUAAGAUUCAACAACUGAGACAAACUGAACAAGUCCCACAGACAUCUGGCUAACAGAAAUGGAAUAAUGUGUCCCUGAACAAAGGGGGGGGUCAAAAUCAAAAGUAACAGUCAGUAUCUGGUGUGGCCACCAGCUGCAUUAAGUAUUGCAGUGCAUCUCCUCCUCAUGGACUGCAUCGGAUUUGCAAGUUCUUGCUGUGAGAUGUUACCCCGCACUUCCACCAAGGUACCUGCAAGUUCCCGGAGAUUUCUGGGGGGAAUUAAAUGUUCCGUGUUGUAGUGUCCCUGUGUGUCUGCUCCUACUGUCACAAUGAGGUCACUGAGCUGCUGGUGAGAAACGGGGCAUUGGUCAACAUAGCUGACCUGUGGAAUUUCAACCCUCUCUUUGAGGCUGCAGCCAAGGGCAAAUAGCCAAAAGAUCUGCUGAUGCUCAAGAAGAACUAUGAUGAUAGCUUGUCUUUGGACACGGGCAGCCAGGUCCUGCUGGAAGGAGAUGCUGCCCUCCUAAAGCACAGGGCUGAUGACAACAAUCAGGCCUCAUCUCCCUGCACAACACAGCCUCAUACAGCCACACGCAUAUUGUGGCCCUCCUGAUCAAGUUCAAUGCCCGUGUGAACGCCACUGACAGGCUGAUGGUAUCUCUGCCCUGUUGAUGGAAACUAUGCCCCCAGAUGCAGAGGAGGAAUCACCAGCUCAGCUCAUCAGUGUCCAAUCUCUGGAGGGGACAACAGACAUUGCUUAAUCUGCGCUUGAUUCGGCCCAUGGGCCACCCAGCAAAACUGACUAAUUCAUAAAUCCUUUAGCUAUUGUAUUUUAACUUUUUGUGUGUAUUUCAUAAAGCUUGCAGGUUUUUACAAUAUUAUUUAUUUGUAACUCAGACAAAUCUGUAAUCGUUUCCUGUAAUUGUGUCCCUCAGGGCUACAAUGUUAAAGGACAGUGGACCAGCAGCAAUCAGUAUGUAGCCUGACACCACUGGAGGUGUUGAUGGUAUUUGUGUAGAACAAGAAAGAAAACAACUAGUUAACAGCAACAUGAAUAAGUAGCUCAGACAGCUCCAUCCCAACAUACUCUGUGGACUCCCAUCCCACUCCUCCUGUAUGUCAUGCUCGCCCAUCAGGAGGUCCCGCUGAAGCUCACUAGUCUUCUCCUGCGUCAACCCAGGGUGCUGGUGGAGGGAAAAUAGACAAAGCAAUGUGCUUUUCACAUUUGUUUUUCAGGGUUUGGGGGAGCACUGGGUAAGCCAUCCUCACAUAAAACAUAAUAGCCCUGGCCUAUUUCUGUGUUUAUUUCACCCCUUGGGGCAGUUAUUUUUUCACAAUGUCAUUGGCUAUACAUAAUGUGAGUGUCUUAUAGAAUCCUGGUGAAGUUGAGAAACCAAUAGUACAAAAAUCUUUUAUCAAAUAUUGUGUAUGUCUACAUUUUUGCUAAUUAUGUGAUACAAGGUGACAGUAUUGAUUGCUAAACUGAUUAAUUGGGACACAACUCAAAUUACGAGCUUGGUUUGUAAAAUGGACAUUUCAUAACUGCAUAAGUUUUUAAUAACGUUUUCAAAAACGUAAUUGCGUUGUGUCAAACAGAAUAUCAUACAAUGGUCUCCUGACGUGCACAUAUAGAGCAAGCUACAACACUGUCCUGUUAGUCCCCAAUAACUUACUUGCAUACACAAAAUGUUGUUCAUGUUUCCAGUGGUUGUGUGCGUGGUGCUUUGUGCCACCAUAUUUCCCCUCCCCCAGUAAUCCAGAUCCACGACCCUGCUGUUAGCUCAUGCUGGAAUGCACGUUCACGCUUGUUGUGCUGCAGUGCUAGUGCCCAUGUACUAAUUGGCUCCUCAAACCUGAACUAGCAAGAUGUCAGCGCCCACGAAUCCGGUAUAUGCAACCGUCAGUAGAUUACAUUGAAAAAAAACAUCCGACCAUCUUGGAGGCUGUCUAGUUCUUAUUAUAGCUCAAUGGUUUUGAAUCUGAAUUUAAAGAACUGGACUUGAAAACGGAAUCUCAAUGCAUCUGAGAAGUUGAAUAUGUGAAAUUUUGAUCAACUUAAAAUUAUAGUUUGUAAACUUGAUACACAGACAAUGAAUGCAAUAUCUACCAUACUGAAACUGAAUACAUACAUAUUGAAUUAAAUUGAAUUUUAAAACGGAA